CCCCUCCUUACCCAGACACUCGAGAAGAAAGGGACCAAGUCUAUUUGGAGGAGACAAGCGGACCUGAGCCUUAUUGUUGUGAGCUUGUGAGUUGCCUGUAACUCCCAGAACCGACCCAACAGAACCACCUCUGAAUGUCCUCUGGUGUCUGCAGCUGGUCUCUGGUGUCUGCAGGUGGUCUCCUCUGCUGGUGUCGUCAGGAUCAGGAGCUUCCAGAAGAAUGUGCCUUUCAAUGACUCUUUCCCCCUUAUUUGUUAUAUUAAUUAAAUAAAUCUCAAUUUAUAUA